rnacentral:misc_RNA from 1 species
GAUGAAGAACGUAGCGAAAUGCGAUAAGUAAUGUGAAUUGCAGAAUUCAGUGAAUCAUCUAAUCUUUGAACGCACAUUGCGCCCGCCAGUAUUCUGGCGGGCAUGCCUGUCUGAGCGUCAUUUCAACCCUCAUGCCCCUAGGGCGUGGUGUUGGGGAUCGGCCAAAGCCCGCGAGGGACGGCCGGCCCCUAAAUCUAGUGGCGGACCCGUCGUGGCCUCCUCUGCGAAGUAGUGAUAUUCCGCAUCGGAGAGCGACGAGCCCCUGCCGUUAAACCCCCAACUUUCCAAGGUUGACCUCAGAUCAGGUAGGAAUACCCGCUGAACUUAAGCAUAUCAAUAAGCGGAGGA